GAGCGCUUAGAAGUGAGAAUGCCGGUAUGAGUAGCGAAAGAGGGGUGAGAAUCCCCUCCACCGAAUGCCUAAGGUUUCCUGAGGAAGGCUCGUCCGCUCAGGGUUAGUCGGGACCUAAGCCGAGGCCGAAAGGCGUAGGCGAUGGAUAACAGGUUGAUAUUCCUGUACCACCUCCUCACCAUGUGAGCAAUGGGGGGACGCAGGAGGAUAGGGUAAGCGCGGUAUUGGAUAUCCGCGUCCAAGCAGUUAGGCUGGGAAAUAGGCAAAUCCGUUUCCCGUGAAGGCUGAGCUGUGAUGGCGAGCGAAUUAUAGUAGCGAAGUUCCUGAUUCCACACUGCCAAGAAAAGCCUCUAGCGAGGUGAGAGGUGCCCGUACCGCAAAC
rnacentral:rRNA from 1 species